rnacentral:rRNA from 1 species
UACAGAGGUCUCAAGCGUUGUUCGGAUUCAUUGGGCGUAAAGGGUGCGUAGGUGGCGUCGUAAGUCGGGUGUGAAAUUUCGGAGCUUAACUCCGAAACUGCAUUCGAUACUGCGGUGCUUGAGGACUGGAGAGGAGACUGGAACUUACGGUGUAGCAGUGAAAUGCGUAGAGAUCGUAAGGAAGACCAGUGGCGAAGGCGGGUCUCUGGACAGUUCCUGACACUGAGGCGCGAAGGCCAGGGGAGCAAACGGG